rnacentral:piRNA from 1 species
UGAAGGAAUGGACAAGAGUUGAGCAGC